GGCAGGCCUCCCUCCAGCACCUUUGUGAUCCCAAGUGGCAAGAGAUGCAGGGGUGGGGGACACAGGCAGGGGCCUGUUCCCAGAGAAGUGCACCAUGACCACGAAGCUCAGCCAGGACAGUGGGUCUGCUGAAGGCACAAGAACCAGGAGCAGAGUCAGACAUAGAAAAACCACAGCCCGAACCCCCGCCCCACACUGCAGCUUCUGGGAACUUAAGUUGAAGACAACAGAAAUCCUGAUAUAGGUCAAGUCCUGCCCAGGGUGGUUCUGGGCAAGCCACUUCUCAUCUCUGAUCCUCAGUUUCCUCAAAUAUGGCCGGACAGGUGGUGGCAAACAAUAACCCAGGGCCACGGACAGGAGGCAGUGACAGUGUGCAGGGGCCGGCACAGCGUGGGUCUGUCCAUCCCUACCAGCCCUCAAGGAGAGUCGCUGGCACAGGGGCCGAGAUAACCGAGCUCUGAGCCCCACGUACAGGGUAGCAUGAGAGGACAGGCGUGCAGGGCCCAGCACCAACAGGAAGGUCUGGCCCCAGCAAUGCUCCUCCAGGCCACCCUUCCCCUCCAAGCAUCAGCAGCUCAGCAGUCCCCAGAGGGCAUGUCAGCCCUCCAGAGUGAGCCAGCACUGAGCCAGCUAGAGGAGAGGUGGGAGCCGCCCUCAGGCCCUCUUCCCUGCUGAGGCCUUGCCAGGCACCUCCCUUCGCUGGAACCGGGUGUCUUUCGUGUUCUGUUCAGGAGCCCAGUCCACAUUUCCAACCUGCUACAGCUGGAAAAAAAGAAAUAUGCUUGGUUUUACUUAAUUUGUUCAUAACAAGAAAAGUGUUCAUUAAGGAAAAUUGGAAAUACAGAAAGGCACAAAAAAGAAAACAAAAAUUACCCAUGAGGUAAUUACUGGGUAUAUUUUGCUAAAAGUCCUUUUGGUAUAUUUUCCAAAUUGUGUGUGUGUGUGUGUACACUCUCAUGUGUAUACACACACACUUAUAUAAUUAGACCACACCAUAGCUUACAAAUGUAUACAUAUGAUUAAGGAGCAGUUAGACCAUACUAUAUUUUAGAAUCAUUCUGUUUGAUACAUU
rnacentral:lncRNA from 1 species